CAGUAGCCGCGGGAAUACGGAGGGCGCGAGCGUUACCCGGAUUUACUGGGCGUAAAGGGCGUGUAGGCGGCCUGGGGCGUCCCAUGUGAAAGGCCACGGCUCAACCGUGGAGGAGCGUGGGAUACGCUCAGGCUAGAGGGUGGGAGAGGGUGGUGGAAUUCCCGGAGUAGCGGUGAAAUGCGCAGAUACCGGGAGGAACGCCGAUGGCGAAGGCAGCCACCUAGUCCACUUCUGACGCUGAGGCGCGAAAGCGUGGGGAGCAAACCGGAUUAGAUACCCCCGUAGUCCCUGUCUCUUAUAC
rnacentral:rRNA from 1 species